AAUGGGAUUUUGCAAAAAGUGUAUGCACAAGAGAGCAAGAAGGAAGGAGAAUGUUCUAAAUAUGUCUUUAGCCAGAAGAAAAAGAGAGAAUAAAGCGAGUCAUUUGUAACGUUACGUACAGAGGAUUCUGGUGUUGUGAUCUUUCACUUUUGCCCUGCAUUUAAUACUGAAAAUCAUUCAGCCAUGGUGAAACCAGAUGGAGGAAAUUCUCUCCUGCAAGACAUGAAGGCCAAUGACGCCUUCUUUCUCACUCCUAGGAUGAUGCCAGCUGCACUACACAGUACUGCUGCUCUCUCACUCUUGAAAGAAAGCUUUUUCCAGGUGCCAAAUCCAAUCAGAACAAUGUAGGUAGCUCAGCUGAUGACAGGGAACCAGAUCCAAUGUGCUGCUAAGAGCAAAAUGCACCAGCAGCUUCAGGAAUCCGCACCCUCAGGAGACAGACCACCUGGCCUGCCCACACCACCAGGUUUCCUAAAACAUCCUUCCCAGCUCUAGCAAACUUCAGUACCCCCAGGAGGGCCUGAAAAAGAUAAUAAUCUUUCCUCUGGCAAUGCGAAUGGGCUUGGCAGUGCCCAAAACGUCUCUGUGUCUGCUGAGGUGGUGCCAGCUGCCGUUGUGGGAGAUUGAAUUCAGCCCGGGAAAGGGGGAGAAUCAGCGCUGGUUGUGGCUGCAAAACAACGAAGGGCAAAAGGAGAAAGACAGGAACAUCCAGCCAAGUAGGUCUAUACUCCAGCCAAAGCCCGUUGAUCUUGGACUGCGUACUGUGCAUCGUGCUCUGGCAGUUUUUCAAGCAUCUACAGAGAAAGCUUACAGGGCCAAGUUUUUAGAAUGUGUCUGGACUUACAGCUUCAGUAUUGGAUUUGCUUUUGUGAAGAAGAGGCUGCCUUUAAGGCUGAUCUGGAAAAUACAUAUUCAAGGAGCAUACUUGCUAAAUGCUUCAGCUUUUCUCUUUGUUUCCAAAACCAGAAGGUUGUACAUAAAACACACUCCAGUAUUCAUGACUAAAACUUCAGUUCUUUUUUAAACGGUGAUACUUCUGAACUCAAGAUCAACCUGUUGUAAACAGAAAUAAGAUCAGUCUGAACUCCCAUUUGUUUGCUUGACUGAGGCAACUUUGAAAGCAAAAUAAAAUGUAGAAGAAGAAAAUUGAGCUGCCUUCAAAGACCAAACAGAGAAUGAUACAACUGAAAAAUAGUUAUGGAGACAGAGAUCAACCUGCCCUCUAUAAACACCUAUGGUUAAAUCAGAUUCAAUAAGAUGUAACAUGGUAUAAUGGUGGCAGAGGUUAUUGAAAUCGCCAUUGACAGAUUUGCCGUGUGUUUUGGUGCUGAACACAUUACAAACGUGGUUAAAGGAUCUCGUUAUGAAAAGCAGUUACUGUUAGGAUUUAUGCACAAUAUAUUUUACUUACAAGCCUUUUGUCUUGGAAGGAUAUGACACAACAGAGAGAGGUAAAGGUUGGGAAGGGAGAAAAGGGGGGGCAUGAGGGCUUUUUUUCCACACGACUUCCAUUUGGAUCAUUAAAAAUGCAUCUAGCUAUACCUGGAAUAUUUCUCUUGUGAGGGAUAGAAAUACAAUCCCGCUUGACCAGCUACAACAGUUUUGUUAGAGGGAUUUUCACAGGCAGAAGCAACCCAAAUCUUCCCCAGUACAGCCGGGCAGAGCAGGUCCCUCCCAGCAGGAAUACCUCAAUAAACUCAAAGACAGGCUUGCAGGAGUAACUUGCCAUUGCUACUGAGUUUCAGGGGUGAUUUUUUAAGGCAACUUCUAGGUUACAAACAUGAAAAUAGGGCACUCCAGACCCUCAGCCGCCUGAAUACAGCUGACAGUGGAUGCUCAUCUCUAACAUUUCUCACCAGAGCGGGUAUUGAUAUCAUUUCUCACUCUAGACUAGUCACUUGACCAAGCUGCACUCCAAUGUUUAACGUGUUGGUCACACUGGCAGGUGGAGACUCGUGGUCUGUAGUCUAUCUUAUGGUGACCUUUAUGACUGGCACAGUCUUAAUCAUAAUAGAAAAGACUGAUGUAAAGGCGUUCACAUCGUUAUUUUUAGCAAUAGGGAAUGGAAUAGUUGAAGGAGUAGUAAGGUAUGAGUAGAGUGGCAUUUAUUGUCCCCUGUGGACAAAUGCAGUGAUUUCUUGUGCAGUUUAAUUUUUUAUUUUAUUUUUUUUUAAGGACAAGGACAAAAAGUUGGCAGGCUAGGCAGCUGAGAGGUGGUAAGUGCUCUGUUGUAGGAGGAGUGAUCAGAAUGAAUGCAUCAAGGCUGAAAUUCCUCACAUUAAGUGUUUAUAUUUUCCCAGCAUCGUUCUUCCUCUCCAACAAAACUGAGCAAAACUAAAGAUGAGCCAGUGACCUCCUGAAGUCUUAUACAAGUUCCAAGUUUGUUCAGCUCAACAUGGAAGAUGCUCAAAUUCUGUAGCCAUUAAAAACCACCAGUAGAGUCCAGCCGGCAGGGAGUUUGCAAUAUAUGAUGCUGACCUAUGAGCUGGAAGAUCUCUGCUCCCAUGAGGAGCCCUAAUAGCAGAAACUGCAUUUUUUCAUGGAGACUGGUCUCACCACACAGCCUUUCCCCCCAUCCUGUAAGAAAUAAAAGAGA